UAGACCCACUCAGGUGGACAUCCUCAAAGCA
rnacentral:piRNA from 1 species